rnacentral:rRNA from 1 species
UACGUAGGGGGCAAGCGUUGUCCGGAUUUAUUGGGCGUAAAGAGCGUGUAGGCGGCCAGGCAGGUCCGCUGUGAAAACUCGAGGCUCAACCUCGAGAGGUCGGUGGAAACCGUCUGGCUAGAGUCCGGAAGAGGAGAGUGGAAUUCCCGGUGUAGCGGUGAAAUGCGCAGAUAUCGGGAAGAACACCCGUGGCGAAGGCGGCUCUCUGGGACGGUACUGACACUGAGACGCGAAAGCGUGGGGAGCGAACAGG